rnacentral:tRNA from 1 species
UAGGUAUUAGUUAAACAUAUAUAACCUUUAAAUUGCAAUUAAAAAUUGAUUUAAAAUCAUACCU